rnacentral:rRNA from 1 species
UUUGACCUCAAAUCAGGUAGGAUUACCCGCUGAACUUAAGCAUAUCAAUAAGCGGAGGAAAAGAAACUAACAAGGAUUCCCUUAGUAACUGCGAGUGAACCGGGAAAAGCUCAAAUUUCAAAUCUGGCGGUAGUUUMUGCCGUCCGAGUUGUAAUCUAGAGAAGUGUUGCCCAYGCUGGACCAUGUAUAAGUCUCCUGGAAUGGAGUGUCACAGAGGGUGAGAAUCCCGUCUUUGACAUGGACUACCAGUGUGUUGUGGUGUGCUCUCAAAGAGUCGAGUUGUUUGGGAAUGCAGCUCUAAA